GGAUGCGAUCAUACCAGCACUAAAGCACCGGAUCCCAUCAGAACUCCGAAGUUAAGCGUGCAUGGGCGAGAGUAGUACUAGGAUGGGUGACCUCCUGAGAAGUCCUCGUGUUGCAUUCC
rnacentral:rRNA from 1 species